AUGAGAGAUGAGACUCCAACCAAGAACAGGCUGUCCUGGUCCAAGACCAUCGUUAGGAAGUGGUUCAACAUCAAAACAAAGGCCAAGGACUUCCAUUCGGAUUAUGGAGUCGAACAAGUGGGGAUGCAGUGGAGGACCAGCUUCUCAGAGAGGGAUGUAUGCAAGACCAAGAAGAGCAGAACAGAGAGGUUGCCCAGGAAGAACUCCGAUCGAGACUGUCGAGCAGGAAACGGGAUCGACCGCGCCUACAUCACAAACACGCAGGACUACAGGGUCUUUGCUGGUACAUGGAAUGUGGGAGGAAGGUCACCAUCCAGUCAUCUGAACCUGGAGGACUGGCUCCAUACUUCUCCUGCUGCUGAUAUAUACGUCAUUGGGUUUCAGGAAAUUGUUCCUUUGAAUGCUGGCAACGUCCUGUUGACCGAAGACAACGGUCCAGCCAAAAAGUGGGUUUCUCUUGUGAGAAAGACGCUAAAUAAUCUAGAUCUCCAGGGCUCUGCUGGGUACAACUACCAUACCCCGUCGCCGGCUCCGGAACCUAUCGCGGAGCUUAAUGUUGAUUUCGAGAGAUCAUCGAGGAGGCAAAAGAACUCUUCGUUCUUCCAUCGGCGUUCAUUUCAGUCCUUGGGUCGAAGCUCAAGAAUUGACAUGAUGGAUCCACACUCCCUAGUGGACCGACGGUUCAGUGUUUGUGACCGGAUUAGCUUUGGGAGCAGGCCGAGCGAUGUUGACACCAGUAUGAGGUGCGGUGGGUCCUCUGAUGAUGAGAAUAUGGACGAGGAAUCACCUGGUGGCACCUUCUUCUCACCAAUGCCAUGUGGAUAUGGUGCUCCACUAUCAACAGAUGACAAUAACAGACGGUUGGUAAACUCCAACAGGUAUUGCUUAGUUGCUAGCAAGCAAAUGGUUGGGGUUUUCCUAAUGGUAUGGGUGCGGAGUGACAUAAGGGAGCAUGUGAAGAACUUGAAGGUGUCAUGUGUUGGAAGAGGCUUGAUGGGAUAUCUUGGAAAUAAGGGAUCGAUAUCAAUUAGCAUGUCUCUGCAUCAGACAAGCUUCUGCUUUGUUUGCACACACUUGACAUCAGGUCAAAAAGAUGGCGAUGAACUUAGAAGAAAUGCGGACGUGGUGGAAAUAUUGAGGAAAACCAGAUUCCCACAUGCUCAUGGUGCACGCGACGAGAAGUGGCCAGAGACAAUCCUUGACCAUGAUCGAAUAAUAUGGCUCGGGGAUCUGAAUUACCGGAUAGCUCUUUCCUAUCGCUCUGUGAAGGCUUUGGUUGAGAUGCACAAUUGGAAACAAUUGUUGGAAAAAGAUCAGCUUCGUAUAGAGCAAAGGUUCGGUCGGGUAUUCGCGGGCUGGAAAGAAGGAAGGAUUUACUUUCCACCCACGUACAAGUACUCGUACAACUCCGACAGAUACGCAGGCGACGACAUGCACCCAAAUGAGAAGCGGAGGACACCCGCAUGGUGCGAUCGGAUUUUAUGGUAUGGCAGAGGCCUAAACCAACUAUGUUACGUCCGCGGCGAGUCUAGAUUCUCGGACCACAGGCCUGUAUACAGCAUUUUCACGGCGGAGGUUAAACUGCCGAGCCAGGCCCAGUUCGGCAGCUUCACUCGGUCCAGCUCCCUAAUGGGGGUGGAUGAACUGCCAUAUCCAACUUAUCCACGCAGUUACACAGAUAUCAACUUUUACUGA
rnacentral:rRNA from 1 species